GACCCCAACCUAAAAAUAUUAAUUACUAAGCAAGUAUUGUCCCUUAAAAACAAAAAAAAUUUCUCAUUUGCAUUCUCUUGAAGGAAAAAAACAAACUUAAUUGGACAAGUAUCUGAGGUUAUUUCGACAUACACCAAAAUUCAGAGAAGAAGUAAGCUUUUACUAGGAUUAGUAUAUGAGGCUUGGUUGAGCGGACACCACACAAAAUUGAUAGCAGUAAAAAAAAAAAAAAUUAUUAUUAUUAUAUUGCUUACAACCUUUUGAAAAAAAGAAAAAAAAAAAUCUAUACCUUUGUAGUUCGCACUCACCCUCCUCCCUCGCUCCCUCCCUUGUAUCCCACUCCACUAGAAUAUGUAACAGGAUAUACAAGAAACCUCUUCAGGCUCCAGCCGCCGGCCACCAUAUUAUUACCGACUUUUGUUGUAGUGGUCAUGUUAGCAAAACUGUAGCGAGCGACUCUGCCACUUUUGAUUGGUUGCUUCUCGAGCAAGACCACUACUGACGCUAAAGAUGAUAGAUCUAACUUACAUGCACCACUACCACGCCAGUCAAUAGAUCCGAUUGUAUCUAGCUAAUCUUCCGAUAAGGAGAAUAGAAGUCAUGCACCUGCACCACUCUCUCACCAGUCACCGUUUCUAGAUCCGAUUGAAUCUAGCUUAUCUUCUGAUGAGGAGAAUCAAAUUGAUGCACCUGCACAGCUAUCUCACCAGUCACCGGUCGUAGAUCUAAUUGAAUCUAGCUCAUCUUCUGAUGAGGAGGAGAAUCAAAGUCAUGCACCAGCCUCUGAGAAUACUGAAAGACAGAAGAUGAAGGAAUAUGGCUUUAAAGAACUAGCAGAGGCAACUGAUUAUUUCUCCAACAACUGCCUACUUGGUGAGGGUGGUUUUGGUCAAGUCUUCAAGGCAACCUUAGAUGGUGAAGAUGUUGCUAUCAAGAAACUUAAAAAAAUAAAGUUGGAAGAUAAAUUGGAGGAGGGUGAGUACCUUAGCUGUGUGAAUCACCCAAAUAUUGUUAAGAUGAUUGGGCACUGCACUUAAGGAGCCGAUAGAUUACUUGUUUUAGAGUUUGUCCCCAAUAAUACCUUGACAGAUCAUUUACAUGGUGAGUUCUUUUUUCCUAACA